AGUUUAGAUUGGAAUCUUGAAGUCUUGAAGUCUUGAACAGUUUUAAUCUGAUUUAAUCGAGGAAAAUAGAAUGAAGAGACUAGAUGUUCUUCAAAUCUUGGCAGAAAGGAAUGAAAGAAGAAAACGCGAACUGGAGCUCAAUGGUUUACCGUCAGAAAGCAAAUAAUUCUUUGCCCAUAACCCCAAAUUUUUCAAGGCAGACUCCAUCCAUCCUCGUUGAAUCAUCAUCCCAGAGUGCUUCGUCAAAAAGUAGUAGACAGGAAGAAUUAAAUCGUGCUACAGUUCUGGAUAUUUUUGAUGAUACACAAGUUUAUCUUUUUUAUUCAAAAGGUGAAGUAAACUAUUCUUGGCUUGAUAAAGAUCUAGGUAUUAAAGAUGUUCCAAAGAUGUCUUCUUCAGAUUUGGUGAACUAUUUGCGGUAAGAAAUAAAGGGCAAUAAAUUACAACGAUCAUUGUUAACCUGCAAAUUAUCAUGUAGGAGAUAUUUGUUCUUUCUAAUGUCAGUGACAACAAGCAAAGAUGUGGCAGAACUCAGAAGUGUGUCUCAAGAUUCUUUCAGAAAAAAUAUCUGAUAAAACUCAACAAUUCUGUAUUGAAGUGCCUGACUUACUUCUAGUCCUGAUGAAUUUUGGUACUGUUCAAAGCAACUUUUGGCCUGUGGCUUUGGACAUUUCUUUUCCUCGCCCAUUCCGGAAAUUUUCCAUCCAACAGUUUCGAUUCGGAAAAACAUCAUGUCCCUUUCCCUCGCUUUCUAUUUGGAGAAAAUAUUGUCUCUCUUGAGUUUCAAUGUGAAAACAUAUCCCUAUUUUUCCGAGAACGAGAAAAUUGGAAUGUGCAACCUCUUGCUAAACCUUUACAUGGCAAAUUUUAUAGCUGGAGACACUUUUCUAACUCUCAAAAUCAGAGACAUUAUAUCACGUAUAAUUGAAAGUUUUACAGUAGAGGAAUGGAGUGAACUUAAUUUCAAAAUGUAUUGAAGAACUUAUUUUGCAGUGUUGGAUUGAGAACCUGUAACCUACAGCGAUGGUUCAACGAAUUACGUACAGUAUAUACCAACAACUACAAGCCGUGGAGCAACUACAAGCUGUCGGUUCAUCAGCGAUGGACUCGAGUAAACGACGAGCAAUGGUCGUUUGCCGAAGGGCUUCUUCCGCCAAGGCAAGAAAUUGACUCAUCUUCAUCAGGUUUAUUGCAGCAACUUGAGAGAAUUCACUUGAAAAGAUGCAGGGCACAUACUAACAUGUGUUGUAUUUUUCUGAAUUAUGUUUUGAUUGAGCAGUAGAUUCAACAUGACUGUUCGAUGACAAAGUUAGUUGGAAACCUAACUCAAAUACCGAUAACCUUUGCUGCAGCUGCCUUACAGCCACAAGCAGGAAAAUUAUUCUUUUCUUCAGAAAGUUGUUUUAUUUUUUGUCCUGAAUCCCCUAUACUUUCUUUUAAUAUUAGAGAUUUUUAUGUUGAAUAAGUUAACGAAAGUUUGAAAUUGCUAACUAAAUCAUUUGUAUGAUGUGUCAUAGGGAAAGCUGCUGGAGUAAUCUAGUGUUCAUCCUCUUGAUUCAUUUCGUGUCAGCUAGCAGCCAGUGAAAGGCGUAACGAUUCGAGUUGAGCUGCUGCCGCUGCGUCUGCAAGAACGCAUCAAAUUAGCUGUCGCUAGGUGGCUUAAAAUGAUUUCCACUAGGUUGCGCGAGUGUCUUCACUCUUCAGGGAUAAAUGUGUUAUGGUCGUGACGUUUCUCAUGAUGAAAAUGAAAAGGUCCAAUGCAACAGUAAAAGUCCGCUGCUGGUUACUUUGUUGCAGACAGCUGGGGAUAGGUGUUCCUUUUGCAGGUGUGCUACUGGUACUGGUUGUAAUUUUCGUCAUGUACAGAAACAAUUCUUAAGCAGGAUGUCGAAGAUCUUUCCUUUCUCCACGUGGUUGCUGACGUGUCAUGAAGAUGUGUUUUUGGGAGGGUCUCUACUAUAUUGCAAGACAAAAGUGUGAUGAAAACAGGAAAUCUGAAAUGGUAAUAAUGUACUGAGCUUUUGUGGAAGGUUCUUCGUACUUGGAAAGAGUUGUAAAUUUUGUUUGAUCAGACAGAGCAGAUUGCAUAUUCUUAAAACCUGAAAUGAAAUCUUUGCGAUGUGUUGAUCUUUGAUCAUUUCUUUUUCUUGUUUAGUGUAUAUUUAAAGUAGAUCAUUAUUGGUA